rnacentral:rRNA from 1 species
CCUACGGGGGGCAGCAGUGGGGACUAUUGCACAAUGGGGGAAACCCUGAUGCAGCGACGCCGCGUGAGUGAAGAAGUAAUUCGUUACGUUAAGCUCUAUCAGUAGGGAAUUAAAUGACGGUACCUGAGUAAUUAUCCCUGGCUAAUUACGUUCCAGCAGCCGCGGCAAUACGUAGGGGGCAAGCGUUAUCCGGAGAUACUGGGUGUAAAGGGAGCGUAGACGGUGACCCAAGUCUGGAGUGAAAUGCCGCAGCUUAACUGCAGAACUGCUUUGGACACUGGCGAACUAGAGUGCGGGAGGGGUAAGCGGAAUUCCUAGUGUAGCGGUGAAAUGCGUAGAUAUUACGAGGAACACCGGUGGCGAAGGCGGCUUACUGGACUGUAACUGACAUUGAGGCUCGAAAGCGUGGGGAGCAAACAGGAUUAGAUACCCGGGUAGUC